GCAUGGGUUUGGAUUUCUGGAGGGCCUGUUCCCCUAGGCCUCUCGUAGUGCCCCAUGCCAGAGAAAACUGUGGCCCUGAACCGUUGCCUGGCCUGGUGUCCAUAGGCUGCUGGCACUGAAGUGGGUUGCACAGAG